UAUUCAUUAUAGUUGCUGCUCGUGUUUCAUUUUGUAAUGUUUAGUCAAAUUCAUAUCCAAAUCUUUAAAAUAUUUUCAAUAUUUUAUUGUAGGAUGCUUUCACAGGUUGUCAAAUAUUACCAUGUUCUCAUAAAGUUCAUUAAGAAUGCGCCAAUGAAAUGAUUCGAAGAGUAAUAACACGCUGUCCCAUUUGUCGUGAAAGUUUUGCUCAUAAACUUGAAAAGAAAACUCCAUCGAAGAGACGUCACGGUGGAAGACAUAAAUGACAAGCAGCCA